rnacentral:rRNA from 1 species
AGAAUGAACGUUGGCGGCGUGGAUUAGGCAUGCAAGUCGUACGGGCCGCAAGGCCAGUGGCGCAAGGGUGAGUAAGGCGACGGUAACCAACCCCAUGACUGGGUAUAGCCGCGGGAAACCGCGGGUAAUCCCCAGCGACGUCCGGGGGGGGCAUCCCCCCGGGACCAAAGCUCCGGCGUCGUGGGACGGGCCGUCGUGGUAUUAGCUGGUUGGCGGGGUAACGGCCCACCAAGGCUGCGAUGCCUACCGGGCGUGCGAGCGUGGCCCGGCACACUGGGACUGAGACACUGCCCAGACUCCUACGGGAGGCAGCAGUGGGGAAUAUUGCGCAAUGGGCGGAAGCCUGACGCAGCGACGCCGCGUGCGGGAUGAAGGCCUUCGGGUUGUAAACCGCUUUCACCAGGGACGAAGCGAGAGUGACGGUACCUGGGGAAGAAGCGCCGGCUAACUACGUGCCAGCAGCCGC